rnacentral:rRNA from 1 species
CCUACGGGUGGCAGCAGUGGGGAAUAUUGGACAAUGGGGGCAACCCUGAUCCAGCCAUGCCGCGUGUGUGAAGAAGGCCCUCGGGUUGUAAAGCACUUUCAGUGAGGAAGAACGCCUGGUGGUUAAUACCCAUCAGGAAAGACAUCACUCACAGAAGAAGCACCGGCUAACUCCGUGCCAGCAGCCGCGGUAAUACGGAGGGUGCGAGCGUUAAUCGGAAUUACUGGGCGUAAAGCGCGCGUAGGUGGCUUGAUAAGCCGGUUGUGAAAGCCCCGGGCUCAACCUGGGAACGGCAUCCGGAACUGUCAAGCUAGAGGGCAGGAGAGGAAGGUAGAAUUCCCGGUGUAGCGGUGAAAUGCGUAGAGAUCGGGAGGAAUACCAGUGGCGAAGGCGGCCUUCUGGACUGACACUGACACUGAGGUGCGAAAGCGUGGGUAGCAAACAGGAUUAGAUACCCUGGUAGUC